rnacentral:lncRNA from 1 species
GGAGAAGUAAUGGAAGAAAAUGGAUUGAAGCCAAAUUACAAAGGCCCUGGUUGUUAUACUGAGGACUUCAGCCUUUAUUCUGGAUCAGUGGACUCCAGGUCUCACGGAAUGCUGAAUUUUUCGAGCACUCACCACAAGGUCUCAAGCCCCCGAGGACUACCAGGCAAAUUUCCAACAAAGCUGGGUUCACAACUGAGAAUUCCCAGUGUAUGGCACCACAAGGAAAAUAGCUGCAUUUGGAUAGUGACAUGGAGUGACUUAGUGGGAAUCCACCCCAGCUGUACCAUCACACCACUGCAUGUUCAGAAUCUCCCCUGCGGCAAUUGCCCAGCAGAUCUCUACCCUGUACGAGGACAGAACAUGCCUAUGGGCCAUUUACACUGACAAAGCUCUCUCUCAUCUCCUUAUAACCAUUGCUGCUGCUUUCUGGCCUCCAGCAGUUUGUUUCAGAACCAGAACAGGCCUUAGGGAUCAGCUGGUCAUUUGACAUGUAACGGAGAAGAUGAGAGAAGACCAAGGACACACCGCUUAUGGGAGUCAAGAUCAGGACUCUUUCAUGAGGCCGUAUUACGUAGAAAUCAUGCAUCGGACUUACUUGAGUAUUGGUAUUUAGCACCAACACCAAAGUUCAAGAAGAGGAAACAGUACAGCAGUUGCAGUUUCAUAGUCUGAAAAGUACCUGUGUAUUGUUUUCUUUUAAAUCCUUGUGGUAGAGUUGCCUUAUAAUUCUCUUGUUGGAAGAAAGAACAAAGACACUUUAGAAGCAAAGCUGGAUCAGGUUUUUAUUACAUAUUUUAUUAGAUGUUUGGGACAAGAUGACCAAAUUUAAAUAACAUGCUAUAGAAUAUUAAGAUUCAAUAGCAGUUUCAUAUUCCAGAAUACAAAGAGUUAAACUUCUACGUCAAGACCUUCAAAGGUCAUGGUUAAGAGGCAAACAGAAGAGUGCAGAGGUCCCAUCACGACCUGUCUGCUGAAGGCCUCCAUGCCCCUUCGGAUGGGAGCUUUGGGUCAGUUGUACAGUCACAUGGCUCACCCAUUGGUUCGUGUUUUUUUCCAGAAAUAGAAUCAAUAGAGAACAGACAAACCCACAGUUGCCAGUUUGUACAGUCUUGUGGUUUCUGUCAGGGGCUACAGGCUCGAGCAGGUCUACCAGAUAAUGAAGGCAAACUAUUUCAGUUCCUGUGGGUCCAGAGCGCCUCAGCAGAGUUCUGGUUUCAAACAAAUGAAUAACAAAUUAAAAGGUACAGUAAAAUAAGGGGGUGGUUAAAAUAUAUUAACUAAAAUCAAUGGAGGAGAAACGUAGUUAAAAAGCCUGCAUUCUCAGCAGUAGUCUGUGAUGUAUUUUGUUAAUCUCUUAAAAUUUAUGUUAAAAGCCUUUUAACAGAAAGUCAAUAUAUUUGGGUGGUUGAGCGAGUAUAUCAUCCUCUACCGGCAGUUGCAUUAAAUACGAGGCAGGCUCCACUGUUUGUAGGAAAUGAACAGGGGUCCAUCCAACGGAAGUCCCACCUCAAGGAGACCAGACAUUUUUCCCAAAACAGCCUGUGGAGCCAAGCUCACUAUUAGCCCCCCCCCCUUUGCUUAGGUUCCCCACUGACGUCAACGAGAGUCCUGGAAAUGAAGCGGGAUCAGAAUACCAGAAGCAUAGCCUAAUAAUAGAGCCAAAAUGGAGAGCAGAUGGAAAAUAAAACUUCUCAAUAAAGUGUGACCUAAUGUUAUAAAUUUGUUCAAGGAAAGAAAACAACAACAGUGAAGCAAAAAGGCCUGUAAGCAGACUUACAGGGGUGAAAGUUCUGGAACAUAGCUGACUAGAAAAACACCUAGAUACUUAGAAACCUUCCAGAAAAAGA